rnacentral:snRNA from 15 species
AUACUUACUUGGCACCGGAGCCAGGGUGAUCACAAAUGCUCUGGCCUCAUGUAGAGGUUCACCAUUGCACUCUGGUGUGUGUUGAAGCCUGCGACGAUCCCUAGUCGGGUUCGCUCAGACGCUAGC